AUUGAACGCUGGCGGCAGGCCUAACACAUGCAAGUCGAACGGUAACAGGAAGCAGCUUGCUGCUUCGCUGACGAGUGGCGGACGGGUGAGUAAUGUCUGGGAAACUGCCUGAUGGAGGGGGAUAACUACUGGAAACGGUAGCUAAUACCGCAUAACGUCGCAAGACCAAAGAGGGGGACCUUCGGGCCUCUUGCCAUCGGAUGUGCCCAGAUGGGAUUAGCUAGUAGGUGGGGUAACGGCUCACCUAGGCGACGAUCCCUAGCUGGUCUGAGGGGAUGAACAGCCACACUGGAACUGAGACACGGUCCAGACUCCUACGGGAGGCAGCAGUGGGGAAUAUUGCACAAUGGGCGCAAGCCUGAUGCAGCCAUGCCGCGUGUAUGAAGAAGGCCUUCGGGUUGUAAAGUACUUUCAGCGGGGAGGAAGGCGAUAAGGUUAAUAACCUUGUCGAUUGACGUUACCCGCAGAAGAAGCACCGGCUAACUCCGUGCCAGCCGCCGCGGUAA
rnacentral:rRNA from 1 species